rnacentral:tRNA from 1 species
GGAAGAGCAUCGCCUCCGGUGGGGCGCGCGGCCUUCAAAGCCGUUGAGACUUCUAAUCGAAGUCUGGUGGGUUCGACUCCUACCUCUUCCGCCA